AUUGAACGCUGGCGGCAUGCCUUACACAUGCAAGUCGAACGGCAGCACGGGAGCAAUCCUGGUGGCGAGUGGCGAACGGGUGAGUAAAGUAUCGGAACGUGCCCAGCCGUGGGGGAUAACGUAGCGAUCGUUACGCUAAUACCGCAUACGAACUACGGAUGAAAGCGGGGGAUCGCAAGACCUCGCGCGAUUGGGACGGCCGUUAUCAGAUUAGGUAGGUGGUGGGGUAAAGGCUCACCAAGCCGACGAUCUGUAGCUGGUCUGAGAGGACGACCAGCCACACUGGGACUGAGACACGGCCCAGACUCCUACGGGAGGCAGCAGUGGGGAAUUUUGGACAAUGGGCGAAAGCCUGAUCCAGCCAUGCCGCGUGCAGGAUGAAGGCCUUCGGGUUGUAAACUGCUUUUGUACGGAACGAAAAGGUUUGGGCUAAUAAGCUGAGCUCAUGACGGUACCGUAAGAAUAAGCACCGGCUAACUACGUGCCAGCAGCCGCCGUAA
rnacentral:rRNA from 1 species